GUGGGGAAUCUUCCGCAAUGGACGAAAGUCUGACGGAGCGACGCCGCGUGAGUGAAGAAGGCCUUCGGGUCGUAAAGCUCUGUCAUCAGGGACGAACGGCCGGUGGAGUGGAAAGCCACCGGAUUGACGGUACCUGAGAAGGAAGCCACGGCUAACUACGUGCCAGCAGCCGCGGUAAUACGUAGGUGGCAAGCGUUGUCCGGAGUUAUUGGGCGUAAAGCGCGCGCAGGUGGGAUCUUAAGUCCAUUUUGAAAGUUCGGAGCUCAACUCCGUGAUGGGAUGGAAACUGGGAUUCUUGAGGACCGGAGAGGAAAGCGGAAUUCCCCGUAUAGCGGUGAAAUGCGUAGAUAUGGGGAGGAACACCAGUGGCGAAGGCGGCUUUCUGGACGGUGUCUGACACUGAGGCGCGAAAGCCAGGGGAGCGAACGGGAUUAGAUACCCCGGUAGUCC
rnacentral:rRNA from 1 species